AUUGAACGCUGGCGGCAGGCUUAACACAUGCAAGUCGAGCGGAGAUGAGGUGCUUGCACCUUAUCUUAGCGGCGGACGGGUGAGUAAUGCUUAGGAAUCUGCCAUUUAGUGGGGGACAACAUUCCGAAAGGAAUGCUAAUACCGCAUACGUCCUACGGGAGAAAGCAGGGGAUCUUCGGACCUUGCGCUAAAUGAUGAGCCUAAGUCGGAUUAGCUAGUUGGUGGGGUAAAGGCCUACCAAGGCGACGAUCUGGAGCGGGUCUGAGAGGAUGACCCGCCACACUGGGACUGAGACACGGCCCAGACUCAUACGGGAGGCAGCAGUGGGGAAUAUUGGACAAUGGGCGGAAGCCUGAUCCAGCCAUGCCGCGUGUGUGAAGAAGGCCUUUUGGUUGUAAAGCACUUUAAGCGAGGAGGAGGCUACUAGUACUAAUACUACUGGAUAGUGGACGUUACUCGCAGAAUAAGCACCGGCUAACUCUGUGCCAGCAGCCGCCGUAA
rnacentral:rRNA from 1 species